AAGAGCAAGCUUAAAGGUCACUCUAAGAGGAUAACUGGCCUAGCAUUCUCUCAUGUAUUAAAUGUGCUAGUUUCAUCGGGAGCAGAUGCUCAGGUACACCUAAUCAGAUCUUGUUCUUAUGUAGUUUUACUAUUGUGAUAGUAGUCCAAAAUCUAAUCAGCCACAGGUCCCAAGUCAGGUACACCUAAUCUUCUCUCCUGCAUGAUUUUUAUUCUCUGUUGCCAUCCCUUUUUCUACCAUUCACUCACUCAAAUGAUCUACGUUUUUAUCAAAUAACAGCUCUGCAUGCAGCUUCAUUGAGUAGUUAAGUCCCCUUGCUGCACACUCACUAAGGGCCACCUUCUUGUGGUUUUACUUUGAUUACUGCUCUACUGCCUGUCAAAUUGAAAUACUGAACCCUAAAAACACAGGAAUGGGAAAAAAAUAGAGGUAGUAUUAACCUUGGUUUACUAGUUUUCACUUAUGUGCACCUCAUUGAGAUUUGAUUUUUUUUUUUUUUUUUUGUGAGAAAUUGGAGUUGGAGGGUUGCACAAAACUGGCAGCAUUCAUAUCACAUCCUGUGAGUAAAUGCAAUAUGAUUAGCAAGGAAAUUGAAAAGGCACACUAGGAGAAGGUCAACCUUGAUGAUCAUAUUAGUGUUGCUCUCUUUGAUGAAAAUGUAAGAGCUCCUCAGUUGAAGAGAUUGUACAUAUAUGCAUUACCUAAGUUGAUGACAAUAUGGCAGAACCAACUGCUUGCUCCAAACUUUGAUGUCAAAUUGUAAACUCCAUAGAGAUACUGUUUUGUGAGAGUUUGAAAAAUAUUUUUUUAGUCCCAUUAAUGGUCAGAGAUGGUCUUCAGCAACUACAGAAUCUGCAAGUGAAGCUUUGAACAGUAGUGGAGGACAACUCUUCCUGAGUCUGUCUUCCUAGUGUCCGUUACUCAAUGAAUCGCUAGUGGAUAACUGCAGAAAUCUAGAGAUUUUUUCUGCAAUGGUUCAGGAAAAAAAUGAGUUGGAUAAUCAGUGUGCUCCAAUUAAAUCAUCUCUAUUCUGGAUUGAGAAGCAGGUCAGUGAAAUAUAUUCGGACGUACGGGGACUUUAAGCCAUUUGAUGCAAUUGCUUCUACUUACAAUUCAUUUGCUCCACCUUCAACAUGAUAUGAAAAGCCAUGCCGCCACUUCCCAGCCAUCUGAUACAUUUUUCAUAAAAGCUUGCAAGUUGACGACUCAAGGGACAAGUCCAGAAGGCAAAUUAACCAACUUGCAUGUACGUAUAUAUUAAGUGUGGUGUGUGCACCAAGUAUUUGUCGUAAAGUUUAUCUACGACUAGCUAGUGACAACAUCUCUACCGGGAAGACACAGUGCAGGCCGGGAAUGGAGAGCUAGCAGUAAGCAGUGUUGAUCCCAAGCCUCAUACUUUUCUACAUAGCACGGUGUAAGUUUUAUCACUUUUUUUCCAGUCUACUCAAACUAUGCUCAGUAUAGACAACUGGCUAGCUUUUGCUUUUUUGAGAAAAAAUAUAGUAUGGUACAAAAAUGCUAUGUUUUAUGGUUUCUGCCCUGAAACCAAUGCCAGUAGCCAUAUGACAUGGUGCAAACUCUGUUCUAGUGGGCGGCAAAGAGUCGGAACUCAUAUACCCAAGAGCAACUUGAUGAGGUGCGCAUUGAAGCGGCUGACUACUUGUAGAUUUUGCUAUAGCUAGAUCUUGACAAGCAAUAUGAUUUUGAGUAAGGCUAGAUUUUGCUGACCAUUUUGUAGUAGAUGUAGUGAUAUCAGGAUGAAUUGUGAACAAAUUAUGCUGCAUGUAGUUAUUGCAGUAGUGGUAUCUUCUACACUAGCCUUAAAGUAGGUUAGGGUUUAUUGUGCAAAACUUUUGAAACUACCUCAAGCUCUAAUUUUGUAUAGAAAUUAAUACAAUUCCCUAAUAUUUAAAGUACAUUUGAAUUUCAUGUUA